AUUGAACGCUGGCGGAGUGCUUUACACAUGCAAGUCGAGCGGCAGCGNGGNGGGCAACCCUGGCGGCGAGCGGCGAACGGGUGAGUAAUACAUCGGANCGUGUCCUUAAGUGGGGGAUAGCUCGGCGAAAGCCGANUUAAUACCGCAUAAGCUCUGAGGAGGAAAGCGGGGNCCCGUCAAGGACCUCGCGCUGCUGGAGCGGCCGAUGUCGGAUUAGCUAGUUGGUGGGGUAAAGGCUCACCAAGGCGACGAUCCGUAGCUGGUCUGAGAGGAUGAUGAGCCACACUGGAACUGAGACACGGUCCAGACUCCUACGGGAGGCAGCAGUGGGGAAUUUUGGACAAUGGGGGCAACCCUGAUCCAGCCAUUCCGCGUGAGUGAAGAAGGCCUUCGGGUUGUAAAGCUCUUUCGGACGGAACGAAAUGGUUACGGUUAAUAACCGUGACUNAUGACGGUACCGUAAGAAGAAGCACCGGCUAACUACGUGCCAGCAGCCGCGGUAAUACGUAGGGUGCGAGCGUUAAUCGGAAUUACUGGGCGUAAAGCGUGCGCAGGCGGCGGCUCAAGUCAGGUGUGAAAUCCCCGGGCUUAACCUGGGAAUUGCGCUUGAAACUAGGUCGCUAGAGUGUGGCAGAGGGGGGUGGAAUUCCACGUGUAGCAGUGAAAUGCGUAGAGAUGUGGAGGAACACCGAUGGCCGAAGGCAGCCCCCUGGGUCAACACUGACGCUCAGGCACGAAAGCGUGGGGAGCAAACAGGAUUAGAUACCCUGGUAGUCCACGCCCUAAACGAUGUCG
rnacentral:rRNA from 1 species